rnacentral:rRNA from 1 species
AUUGAACGCUGGCGGCAGGCCUAACACAUGCAAGUCGAAUGGUAACAGGAAACAGCUUGCUGUUUCGCUGACGAGUGGCGGACGGGUGAGUAAUGUCUGGGAAACUGCCUGAUGGAGGGGGAUAACUACUGGAAACGGUAGCUAAUACCGCAUAACUUCGCAAGACCAAAGAGGGGGACCUUCUGGCCUCUUGCCAUCAGAUGUGCCCAGAUGGGAUUAGCUAGUAGGUGGGGUAACGGCUCACCUAGGCGACGAUCCCUAGCUGGUCUGAGAGGAUGACCAGCCACACUGGAACUGAGACACGGUCCAGACUCCUACGGGAGGCAGCAGUGGGGAAUAUUGCACAAUGGGCGCAAGCCUGAUGCAGCCAUGCCGCGUGUAUGAAGACGGCCUUCGGGUUGUAAAGUACUUUCAGCGGGGAGGAAGGGAGUAAAGUUAAUACCUUUGCUCAUUGACGUUACCCGCAGAAGAAGCACCGGCUAACUCCGUG